GCCAGGCAUGGUGGCGCAUGCCCGUAAUCCCAGCAGCUCAGGAGACUGAGGCAGGAGGAUCACGAGUUCAAAGCCAGCCUCAGCAAAAGUGAGGUGCUAAGCAACUCAGUGAGACCUGUCUCUA
rnacentral:sRNA from 1 species